rnacentral:sRNA from 1 species
GUCACCCUAGCAGCGGAUCCACAUCUCGGGUUGGCUGCCUUUAGUGUGGCUUGGAAUGCGGUAUUCGGUUCAGCCACUCCUGAUGCUGAGCCUAGUCUCGUAUACCGAACACUACAGGAACUGGUUGUGUUCUAGAGAUCUUCCUGCCCCCCACUUCUCAAGUGCUGGGAUUAUAGGUUUGUGCCACCCGUCCCGCUUUAGCUCACUACAGUUCUUUAAGAUAAUGUCUUAAUCCCCGUCUCAGAAAUGAAUCAGAAAUUCAGAAAGGCUGAUCAAUCUUGUUAUCUGACUCCCCACUUCAUCGCUGGAAGAAGGAAUUGGGAGUUGAGAGAGAAGGCUCAGUCCUCAACUAAAGAAAACUUAUCUCUCUUUCCUUGGUGUGGAUGGCCUUCUUAGAGUGGUGAUGGGAAAUUUUAGAUUCCGAGCCUCUUAGACUGAAGCGGCUCUGGUCUUCAAUCUCCCUGUUACCUAGAGAGAAAAUUGUGUCUAGAGAUUAUGUCAAUGCUAGCGAGGCAGAGCAAAGAUGGAGUUACUAAGUACUUAAGCUCUACUAUGAGAUGUUCUUCCAUUAGGAAAAGCAAAACCAAAAACCUGGGAUUCUUUAAACAACAACAACAAAACAAAACAAAAAAACAAAACCACAAAGCAUUCAAUGGCCCCAGUUUCCAGAAUGAAUACAUUAUAUUUCAUAAUUUGGUAUUUUUAGGUUAAAGAACUUGGACUUCAGAAGAGCCAAAAUCUCCUGUUCUCAUCCCCUUUGGUUAUCUCGCUUCCCACAGACCACCAGGGUCACUAGGAAAUGGAGCUCGCUAAUUUAGGGUCGCUGUGACAUGGGAGAGACAUAGUCCAUGGGAGCUCAUAAUCUAACGAGAGACGGGUUUAUGGCAAACAAUUACAGUGUGGGUGCGGUCACAGAGAUGAGAAUAAAGUGCUUUGAUCACAUGAAGAAGUCAGUGCAGGGGAACGGAGGAUGACGGCACAGAAGGCAAAGCUAACCAAUCAACACGUAUCAACAGACACAUCUGUAUGUAUUUCUGUCCAAGACACAUCUGUAUGUAUUUCUGUCCAAGGGCCUGUAUUUCUGUCCAAGGGCCUAAGAAUGAAGCUCAGUUCCCAGCCCUGCAUAAACUGGGCACCAUGGAGAACCUCCAUAUUCCCGAAUAGCCUUCCCCACAAUUCCCCAAAUCCCAGCAUGGUUAGGAACUUUUAUUUAUAUUUGUUUUUAUUUUUACAGUGUUAAGGGUGGAAACUAGGCCUCUGUACAUGGUAGGCAAAUUCUGUGACACUGAGAUACCUGAUCCUCAGAUCAAGGCUGGAGAUGGGGGUGGUGUAUGUGUGUGUGUGUGUGUGUGUGUGUGUGUGUGUGUGUGUGUGUGAUAUUGACGUCCAGGAUCUUCCUCUAUUCUCCCCAUUCUUUUCUAAGAUAAGCUAAGAUCUUCAUCUCCCAGUGAUUCUGAGACUUGCUGAUUCAGUAUGACUAUCUGGUCAGCAAAUCCCAGGGAUGCCCCUGACUCCACCUCCAUAGGGAUGCACUGCUAUGCCCAACUUUUUAUGUGUGCGUUCUGGGAAGCUUGCAUAUGAAGCACUUUGCCCUGAGCGCCAUCCCCAGCCCAAGGCUAGGAUUUGUACUGAGCUCUGCCCACUGCAAGCUCUUACCUCUGCUGUUGCUGCCAAAACUAACUCACUAUUGAAGUAAUUCUGUAAUUUAAAUAAGAAUUUUCCCCAGGUACACUAUAGUAGCCCUUAUGAUUCAUCUUAACUUCUUUUUGUAAGUUGAAAAAAUAAUUGCGUGUAUGUAUGUGUGUGCGUGUAGGCAUCUGUGUGGUGUUCUGUAUGUGUGUGUGGCACAUGCAAUACAUAGUAAGUAUUCAGGCAUAUAAGCAGAACAUCCCUUGUCUCCCUCUACCUACUCCCUCCUGACUGGCUGCCUUAUUCCUUUGCCCACCUUUUUAUGUGGAUGCUGGAGAACCAAACUCAGGUUAGUGUGGUUGACACCUUUAAUCCCAGCACUCGGAAGACAGAAACAGAUCUCUGUGAGUUCUUGGCCAGUCUGGUCUACACAGUGAGUUCCAGGGCAAUCAGAGUUCUACAGUCUGACCCUGUCUCAAAGGGAAUACACAAUGAAACUGAAUAUUGGGGCUGGAGAGAUAAUAGCUCAGUGGUCAAGAAUACUUUGCUCUUGCAGGGAUCAUGUACCCACACGGUGGUUCACAACUUGACCACUGAGCUAUGUUCCCACAUGCCAAGAUGUCGUAUUUACUUUAGAAAAUAUGGAUAGCAAAAAUAAGGACAUUAGAGCUGGCCCGUUGUAGGGUAGCCAGUCCUUCCCGCUUGGGUUUGGGCCUGUUUUACCAGGCCUAAUUUUGUAAGCAUAGUUACAAAACCUCAUAGGUGAGGUUAUCAGAGGCGCUAGGGGACAUGUUGUGGUAAAUCUCCAACCCCAAUAAACCAGCGCAAAGAACACGUAAUUCAGUUAUAAUGUUUAUAAGCUGCCUGACUACAUUGGGCAGAGUCACCACUGCUCUGCUCUAUUCCCCGGCUACGAGAUCCCUUGCUACUGACAGCUCCUUCAGGCUCCAGCUCCCUCCCACCUCCUCUUCCUCCCUUCCCUCUCUUCCCUCUCUUCAUCUCCCCCUCCCUCCAUGCUCUCUCUCUCCCUGAGACUUCCGUCCCCACCUCUUCUUCACUGCCCAGUCACAGGCUCUAGCCUUUAUUUGACCAGUUAAAAUGGGGAGAAGGUUCCCUUGAAAUCACCCGAGUACUUGGUUAAAAUACAAACGGCACCACAGCAAUCCCCCAGUAGGGAGAGCCUCCUGUUGUUCAUAUUGGCUAAAUGGCCAUGUUGUCCAACUACCUUCUAAAUAUCUAUGUUUACACUCACAGGUCUGUGCUGCUCUCAGAGGUGGUCAGAGAACCACCUUCUGGAGGUGCAUUCAUAGCUAAUCAAAGGGCUAAGAAGAAGUAAUCGGGUGUGCUCAGUCAUUCAUGGACCAUCCGGGUCAACCUUCACCUGCUCUGAGGCUCAGGGAGCAUCAAACAAGUGAGGAGAUAAAAACGAAGCAAGAGGCUGGGUAGGCAGCAUUGCACCCAUGAACUUGGAGCUGUGGAACCUGUAUACAGUCAGACCAGCCAGAAUUCCAGCAUCAAUGGGGGACUGGCUCCUGAGGACCGUGGCCCUAGCUGCAGAGAUACUGGCAAUUGAAGGCUGCCUGAGCAGAGUCUCUCUUCUUUGGACAUUUGAUGCUGAGUAAAAAUCACAGCACUCAGCAGAAAGGAAAGAGAAGAGAUGGGCCUGACUCCAAAAGUGACUGUGUGAUCUGACAAGAGUCCACGCAAUAGAGAAGGGGCGUGUCCCCAUCACAGGUACAAUUGUACCUCUCUUGGCCAAUACCCUAUAUGUAUUAUGUAAUAUGAAGGUGUGUCUCCACCGGUGUGAGUUUCAGACCAGGGGAGAAAUCUACACUAGACUGAAGGAGAGUGAAGAGGAUCUUGCCAUUCCCCUCAAGUGACAAAAACAAUUGCUAGGGAUUUACUUUAGUGAGGAAAAGAAGAGGAUCAGCUUGUGUUUCCUUCAAGCGAGAAUGCCACACAUACCUUCCUGUAAGAGCUUUAGAAAUGGUUAAGUAUACGAUUGCAGGCCUUUUUCUCACAGUCAAUGCCAUCUUUUAUUUGUGACUUAGUUUGUGGGCGUGGAUGAGGGCGUACCCCAGAGAAUGUGCAUGAGACCUAGUGUGCCUGCCUCCAUACGUAGAGGUUAGAGAGCCACCACAGACGUCAGUUCUUGACUUCCAUCUUCUUUGAGCGAGGAUCCUGUUUUCUUUGGUUCUUUGCUGUUGCACCGUCCAUGCCAGGCUAGCUGGCCUGGCACCUCUUCAGGAUUCCUCCUUUCUCUGCCCUCGGUCUCACUGGGAUUACAGAUCACAUUACUAUGCCUGUCUUUAUAUGGGUUUUGAGGAUCCAGGCUCUGGGCUUCACCCUUAUGUGGCAAGUACUAAUAAAGUCCUAUGACUCGACUCAUCAGCUAUCAAGUUUUUAACUCUUUUUUAUACAUCUCCAAUAUUUUAUUUGCAUCCCUUUCUUAUAAAACCUUGACAUUAUCCCAACCCCUAUAUUGACCUAGUCCCAAAUCUUUUACAGAAUCAAAGCGAUAAACUUCAUUUUUUAAAGGAAGACACUACAAAAAAAAAUGUUUUUAGGAUUCAUACUUUUGGCUUUAUUUUCCAGUUUUAAAAAGUUAAUUUAUGGAGUAAGGACUAUAAAAAGAACAUGUUGGAGGUCUGAUGACAAUUUAGUAGAUUUCAGAAUUUGUUAAAUUUUCUGUUUUCAGUGGGACAUGCUCUCAAGGUAAUGCUAUUUAGAAUAUCUGCAUCUAAGAAUUUCCAUAUGUUCUUCACAGAUCCAACAUCCUGCCAGUUCUCUCUGCAGUUCUCCCUGGAGAGUAAGUAUGUGCAGUCUGUCCUGACAAAGACUGGGCCCCAAGUUGUAAGAAAAGGUUCACUUCCUGCCAAGUAAAAUAACCUUUCCCACAAAUUGAGCAACAUAAUAAAAAAGGAGAGAGAGAGAUUGCAGCCUAGAAGAGAACGCUAGGAAGAGAGGCUGGUUUCUGCAGUUAGAGGUGCUGUAGGGUCAAAAUUAAUGCUGUAUCUUAGACCAUCCUUUCAGUCUACAAUACUGCUCCUAAUUGUUAGUAUGAGCAAAAGGAAAUAAUCAGUACUGUUUUAAUAUCCAAAAGAGAAGGUUUACAGGGGUGAUGAUAGAAUACUGAAGCAAAUAUUUUAUAGUGAAGCUACCCAUUGUUUUUAUUUGUUGGUUGAUUUGUUAUAAAAUUUCAUUUCUGUAUGUGGGAGCUAAAAGCAUCCAAGUUGAAGUGAUAUCUUCAAGGCUUUUUUUCCCCUCCUGUUUUUAAUAAUUUUUCACUUUGUCUUAGUUUGAUUACUUGAACAUUGUUAAGUCAUUCUUAUUAAAAUACUAUUGGCACUGGGUGUAUCUUAGUUGGAGAGUGCUUACCUAAUAUCCACAAGACCUUGGGGGUUUAUACCUGCAUAAACAAGGAGCGGUGGCGAACACCUAAAAUCCCAGCACUCAGGAGGUAGAUGCAGGAGGAUCAAAGGUUCAAGGUUAUCCUCUGCCACAUUGGGAGUUCAGGACCAAUCUGGGAUAUAUGAGACUUUCUUUAAAAAAAAGAAAAAGUACAUCAAUAGUGUACAUGAGGCUCUGAGGCCCUGUUUUCAACACAGAUGCACACACACAUGUACACGCACACACUCAUUAUGACACUGAGAAAGGCAAUGGCUUCUACUGAAAAUAAAUUAUCUUCCAACAAUACAGUUUUUACUGCUGUGAAUGAAUUUUAUUUAUUGUCCAGCCAGCUAUGCUCUGGCAACCUUACCAUUAACUCCAGCAACCUAGAAUGUAGGAUUAUGUUAUGAGGAAGAGAGGGCAAAUUAACAAGAUGGGACUGAAUGAAAAGCUUAAAUAUUAUUUAAAUAGUCAAAACGUUUCCUGAGACUGUAACGGGAAGGGGAUCCAAGCCGAGUUCCAAGAGCGUCUCUUGCUCUCCUGCCUUGGAAGGAUGAGAUCUGAUGAGGAGUCUGGAUGGUUCCCUGACAAUCUGAGGCAAGUGGGUAGGAUGCUCACCGCCACUAUCUACUAGAGUUUCACUGGUUCCAUAGUUAGCUGGCAGUCAUCAGGCAUUAUUGUCUCUCAGUUACUUCAUUCAGAAAGUUAAAGCUGUUAGAAUAACAAGAGUGUUACAGCUUAAGCUUUUCUUAUACAAAGUCAGGCAUAGAGUUCCAACUAAAAUACUUCAGCAAAUGGCUUUCUCCCGGCUUCAUGAGCUGCUUGGCACACAGUGAUUUCAGCCUAGGCAAACGUCUGAUGAGCUGAGUGGGCCCGAUGGUUCAGGCCUGUCAUCCCAGAUCCUUGAGAGGGUAAGUCAGGAUGAUCACAGAGUGAGGGCUGGCCUGGGCUGUAGAGUGAGUUCAAGGUCAGCCUGAACAUCUUAGUGACACUCUGUGAAAAAUGAAGAAAAAAAAAAAAAGAUUAGAGCAAGUCAUUUACAGAAGAGAAGAAGUGGUCAGUAAACACUCAAAAAUGUCUUCACGCUCAUUAGAAAUGAGAUAAUAAAAAUUAGAACUAAGCCCAGGAAGAUGGCUGGCAGGCAAAAGUACUUACCACCAAACCAGGUGACCUGAGUACAAUCUUUGGAACCCACAUUGUGGAAGGAGACACCAUCCUCUGAAUUACCAGAAAGUAGUAAAAAAAUAAAAUAAAAUAAAGUAACUAAAGGAAAACAGCCUAUCUUACCACAGAUAACAGAAUUCUAUAAGUCUAACUACACCAGGUACCAUCAAGAUUCUGAGCAGGAGGGGUUGGGGAUUUA